AUGCCGACAUGCUGUUAUUUGUUAGUACUUCAAGAUCAUAUAAUGGAAAAUUGUAUCCAAACUGAAGUAUAAGUUGACGAGCCUGGUUGCUGUAGCCACAGGGGAAUUUUCAAGGACAAGAACCAGUGCUGGUAAAAAUGUGGUCUCAUGUGGUUUUCCAUACCGGCAUUCAGCAAAGAUUUCAGAGAAAGGAAUACUGUCUCCAAAUUAUGAUGUGCCAAUAAGCUCCAGUUAGCUGUGCCUUUUUCCUCCGACCGGUAGUCCUUCAAUCUGAAUCCAGGAGAUGCAGCUCUGAAUCCAAUAUUUCAGGAGAAUGAAUAUAAAACUGAAGCCUUCAGGAAGUCAAUGCCACCAUGGUAUUGAUUUAUUCAGCUCUGAUGUACUCAGCUGUGAUGUAACAUGCCUUCAAGCCACUAUCCGAAGAACAUUCAGACGUUCUAAAUGGACCAUUGCCCUAUUGCCAUGGAAAUCAU